rnacentral:rRNA from 1 species
AAUGAACGCUGGCGGCAGGCCUAACACAUGCAAGUCGAACGGAUCCUUCGGGAUUAGUGGCGGACGGGUGAGUAACGCGUGGGAACAUACCCUUUGGUACGGAAUAGCCUCGGGAAACUGGGAGUAAUACCGUAUGUGGUCGAGAGACGAAAGAUUUAUCGCCAAAGGAUUGGCCCGCGUUGGAUGAGGUAGUUGGUGGGGUCAUGGCCUACCAAGCCGACGAUCCAUAGCUGGUUUGUGAGGAUGAUCAGCCACACUGGGACUGAGACACGGCCCAGACUCCUACGGGAGGCAGCAGUGGGGAAUCUUAAACAAUGGGGGAAACCCUGAUCUAGCCAUGCCGCGUGAUCGAUGAAGGCCUUAGGGUUGUAAAGAUCUUUCAGGUGGGAAGAUAAUGACUGUACCACCAGAAGAAGCCCCGGCUAACUCCGUGCCAGCCGCCGCCGUAA